rnacentral:hammerhead_ribozyme from 1 species
AUUCGGCUGACGAGUCCCAAAUAGGACGAAAAGCGCAUCCUGGAU